GUGACAGUCCGAGAAAGUAGGUCCUCUAUUUAGUUUAGGAAGAGACAGCUUGGGUGACAGCAGUGCAAACACCUCCACAUUGCCCAUUCACUGAUGUGCCAAAGUCCUCCUGGAUGGGCCACUUCUAAGGAUGAUGGAAUAAUCAGCCUCCAUGCCUAUCCAGUGCAUUUCCAUA
rnacentral:sRNA from 1 species